UACAGAGGGGGCAAGCGUUAUUCGGAAUUAUUGGGCGUAAAGGGCGCGUAGGCGGCCACUGCAAGUCAGUUGUGAAAUCUCCGGGCUUAACCCGGAAAGGUCAACUGAUACUGCAGGGCUAGAGUGCAGAAGGGGCAACUGGAAUUCUCGGUGUAGCGGUGAAAUGCGUAGAUAUCGAGAGGAACACCUGCGGCGAAGGCGGGUUGCUGGGCUGACACUGACGCUGAGGCGCGAAAGCCAGGGGAGCGAACGGG
rnacentral:rRNA from 1 species